rnacentral:pre_miRNA from 1 species
GAGGAUCCGUACCCUCCAGAGCAGGGGCUGUAUCAUAACCAGGCUGUGAGCUGAACGAGCAUGGGUAUGAUACGACCUCAGUUUGGAGGAGCUCCUCCUC